AAAUUGAAGAGUUUGAUCAUGGCUCAGAUUGAACGCUGGCGGCAGGCCUAACACAUGCAAGUCGAACGGUAACAGGAAGAAGCUUGCUUCUUUGCUGACGAGUGGCGGACGGGUGAGUAAUGUCUGGGAAACUGCCUGAUGGAGGGGGAUAACUACUGGAAACGGUAGCUAAUACCGCAUAACGUCGCAAGACCAAAGAGGGGGACCUUCGGGCCUCUUGCCAUCGGAUGUGCCCAGAUGGGAUUAGCUAGUAGGUGGGGUAACGGCUCACCUAGGCGACGAUCCCUAGCUGGUCUGAGAGGAUGACCAGCCACACUGGAACUGAGACACGGUCCAGACUCCUACGGGAGGCAGCAGUGGGGAAUAUUGCACAAUGGGCGCAAGCCUGAUGCAGCCAUGCCGCGUGUAUGAAGAAGGCCUUCGGGUUGUAAAGUACUUUCAGCGGGGAGGAAGGGAGUAAAGUUAAUACCUUUGCUCAUUGACGUUACCCGCAGAAGAAGCACCGGCUAACUCCGUGCCAGCAGCCGCGGUAAUACGGAGGGUGCAAGCGUUAAUCGGAAUUACUGGGCGUAAAGCGCACGCAGGCGGUUUGUUAAGUCAGAUG
rnacentral:rRNA from 1 species